UACGGGGGGGGUAAGCGUUGUUCGGAAUUACUGGGCGUAAAGAGCGUGUAGGCGGCCAAACAGGUCCGUUGUGAAAACUGGAGGCUCAACCUCCAGACGUCGACGGAAACCGUAUGGCUAGAGUCCGGAAGAGGAGAGUGGAAUUCCUGGUGUAGCGGUGAAAUGCGCAGAUAUCAGGAAGAACACCUAUGGCGAAGGCAGCUCUCUGGGACGGUACUGACGCUGAGACGCGAAAGCGUGGGGAGCGAACAGG
rnacentral:rRNA from 1 species